rnacentral:rRNA from 1 species
UUGUGGAGAGUUUGAUCCUGGCUCAGGAUGAACGCUGGCGGCGUGCCUAACACAUGCAAGUCAAGGGGCUCGUUGUAGCAAUACGGCGAGCCACUGGCGCACGGGUGAGUAACGCGUAGGUUAUCUACCCCCAACUCAGGCAUAACACCUCCAACGAGGUGCUAAUACCUGAUGAGGAGGCAGCUCCAAAGACCUUCGGGUCGGUUGGGGAUGAGCCUGCGUCCGAUUAGGUAGUUGGUAGGGUAAUGGCCUACCAAGCCGACGAUCGGUAGC